rnacentral:pre_miRNA from 1 species
UGUUGACAGAAGAUAGAGAGCACAGAUGAUGAGAUGCAUGAUGCGAUGCACCUCACUUCUUUGUGCUCUCUAUGCUUCUGUCAUCA